rnacentral:tmRNA from 2 species
CCUCUUUCAAUCCGCUGCGGGCGCCCCUAUAUAGAGCGUGCCGGCGCAAGCCGGCUAUGGUGAUAAACGGACGGUGUAAUAAACCCAUUGGACCCGGGGGCGGUACCCGGCGCCUCCACCAGAAUACAGGCAGACUGCCGGUCUGUGUUGUGGCGGGGGCGAAACAGGAUCGACAAGGGUGUAAAGAUCGCUCUUUUACUCGGCAUGAUACCACCGUUAUCGGGUCAAUUGAGUAGUUGCAAACGACAACAAUGCUCAGGGUUAUGCUCUCGCUGCCUAAUGGCGGUGCGGGAAACCCACUUUAAGCCCUUGGGGUUAGCACCUUAAGGCGGGGUUCGGAGGCACCUGGCAACAGAAGCCUCCACU